GAUGAACGCUAGCGGCAGGCUUAAUACAUGCAAGUCGUGGGGCAGCAGGACGGUAGCAAUACCGUUGCUGGCGACCGGCAAACGGGUGCGGAACACGUACACAACCUUCCUUUAAGUGGGGAAUAGCCCAGAGAAAUUUGGAUUAAUACCCCGUAACAUGGUGAAAAGGCAUCUUUUUAUCAUUAUAGCAGCAAUGCGCUUAAUGAUGGGUGUGCGGCUGAUUAGGUAGUUGGCGGGGUAACGGCCCACCAAGCCUUCGGUCAGUAACUGGUGUGAGAGCACGACCAGUCACACGGGCACUGAGACACGGGCCCGACUCCUACGGGAGGCAGCAGUAAGGAAUAUUGGGCAAUGGAGGCAACUCCGACCCAGCCAUGCCGCGUGGAGGAUGAAGGUCCUCUGGAUGGUAAACUUCUUUUAUAUGGGACGAAAAAAGGGUUUUCUAACUCGACUGACGGUACCAUAUGAAUAAGCACCGGCUAACUCCGUGCCAGCAGCCGCGGUAACAC
rnacentral:rRNA from 1 species